ACGAACGUUGGCGGCGUGGAUUAGGCAUGCAAGUCGAACGAAUGUCAGUUUUGUAGCAAUACAGAGCUGGCGGAAGUGGCGAAAGGGGCAGUAAUGCGUGGGUAACCUACCCUGGGGACCGGGAUAGCCAUCCUAACGGAUGGGUAAUACCGGGCGAUGUGGCUGAUUCGCAUGGGUCGGCCAUGAGAUGAAUUUCGCCUCGGGAGGGGCUCACGUGGUAUUAGCUUGUUGGCGGGGUAAUGGCCCACCAAGGCAAAGAUGCCUAGCAGGUGUGAGAGCACGACCUGCGCCACUGGCACUGAGACACUGGCCAGACUCCUACGGGAGGCUGCAGUCGAGGAUCUUCGGCAAUGGGCGCAAGCCUGACCGAGCGACGCCGCGUGUGCGAUGAAGGCCUUCGGGUUGUAAAGCACUGUCGAGGGGGAGGAAAGCCGUAAGGUCUGACCUAUCCCUGGAGGAAGCACGGGCUAAGUUCGU
rnacentral:rRNA from 1 species